ensembl:lncRNA
UAUUCUUUGCCAAAUUUGUGGUUAUAUUUAUUAUUUAACUUAUAAAAAAAAAAGACCAUGGGUACUGUAUCUAUAAUAUAUUUAGUUUUUAGUUGUCAUUUGAAACACAUACACUCUUAAAAAAUGGUGCUAAAUUGCACUAAAAGUGGUUCAUUGGCUCGUAAUCAUAGGGGAACAAGUUUAAGUCCUAUAUAGCUCCUAUCUUUAAAGGUGCUAUGCAGCAUCUUUGUCAAAUGGUGCUAUGUAGAGCCAUAAGAGGAACCUCAUUCUCCUCAAACUCUUAAAUGUUUGCUAUGAACUAAGAGAGAGUCAGAGAACCUUUAAAGAGCUAUACAUGGGCUUAACAGGCUCUUUGUAUGGCAAUGGUGCCAUAUACUGUAGCACCUCAACUACCUCAAAGAACCGCUAAACAAACAUUUGUCCAAUACUGCAACCGUUUUUUAAAACCUCAUCAAAAUAUUCAAAUCACAUUCAGCUUGACAACAUUAACAUUUAGGCAAACAUUAAUCUUUGUGUGACAAUGGCAGGGAAAUUGUCUGUUUGAAGAUAAAAUGGUUUCUCCAUGAGAUUGCGUGGCACACAAUGACUAAUGUACUUCAGUAGUUAAUUGUGUCUUUGUAAUUGUCUCUGGAGACAUCAGUAUAUUAGCUAAGCUGGAAGCUCUGUGUAAACCAUGAGAGAGCCUUAAUCACGCUGUAGGAGGGGACCGCGGACUGUUUCUCUGCCCAAAAACUUUGUGCAGUCUUUUCGACAGCCACCAGUGAGGUUGCUAUAUUAAUGAAAGCCUCCUUCACACUAGGUAUUUAUCUUCCUGACAGCUGCAUCCCAGUUGAGCACUUAUCAAAGGUUUCGCAUCGUUUUUAUAGUUUUAUUUGGGUUACCUCUGAGCCCAAGCGAAUUUCUCCCAUCUGGACAUCUGAUGGUGGUCAGACAAUUGGUGAUCAUCGUGCUUUGUUUCUAUUUGUGACAGUUUCACUCUGUCUUCAUCACUCUCUCCAAGCAAGUUUUGCUGAAAGACAUGAAGAUGAGUUGACAAGGCUUCAGAGGGAGUAAAUGUUCCUUCAUAUGGAGCAUCCCAUGAGGGGGUACAGCCUGAGACUCCCCGUUGGUCAGUGGGUGAAAGGGCUUAUGUGUUAGCAGAUCAAAGCUCUGGCGGUGUUACCCCCUCCUGUGACAUCCUACUCCUCCACACCUUCUGAUUCAUACACCUUCACAAAGAAAACACGGACCUAUGAUCCCAGUCUGUUCUAGCCAGGCUUUGAUUCACCAGGCAAGGUGGCUUUGAACUCCGACGUCAUGGAGAGAAAACCAUUCAGCUUUGCAUGGAAGGAACUAAAAUCCAAUAACUGCCUGUCUUCUCGUUCUCCCUGUGGUAUCAAAGCAAAGGUAUCAUAAAUGCUUAAAUUAAGUUCUAGAUUUAGCUAGUAUAUAUGUACACGAGUUUGCUUUAGCUUGCAGGUGAAUUAUCUUUUGGUAUAUAAGAGCAGAUGGCCACAUGUGGUGGAUUUUUGGAUCACCAUGGGGUGUUGAGUUCACGUUUUCCAUUGUCGUGCUGUUUGGCAAAGCGUGUGCUUUGUUUACCUGGAUGAUUGAUUUUAAGUCGAGUUAUGUACAGAGCGCUGUGAGAACAGGACUGCGGUCAUGUUACAGUCAUCUCUGGUGUUUAUACUGCGCAGAUGCUUGGCCCCUGUUGAAUAUGAUCACCCCGCCUAGACCAUCAGUUACUUACUUUCUCUAUUAGUUUUACUUUGUAGGGAUCCAUGUAUCAAGUCUUGCUUUCAUGCCUGAUCAGUCACAUUUUUUACAUUUUUUUUCCCCAAUUAUUAUUAUUAUUAUUUUUUUUUUAUCUGAAAUAUCUGAAAUGAGAUUUAUUUUGGAAAUAUAAAAUAUGGUUAAUGAUAGCUCUGUCUUUUUCCUUAGAGGGAUAGUUCACCCCCCAAAAAAUAAAAUAAAUCUGUCAUUAAUUACUCACCCUCAUGUCGUUCCAACCCUGUAAGAUCUUCGUUCAUCAUCAGAGCGCAAAUUAAGAUAAUUUUGACCCUCCCAUUGACAACAAGGAUCCUACCAUGAUCAAGGUCCAGAAACAUACCAAGGACAUCGCUGAAAUAAUCCAUGUGACAUAAGUGGUUCAACCGUAAUUUUUCAAAGCUAUGAGAAUACUUUUGUGCACAAAGAAAACAAAAAUAAUGACUUUAUUCAACAAUGUGUCUCCUCAGCAUCACAUGGUGCCAUUUUGGAGAGUACCACGACGUAUGCGCAAGCUUUGAUCUAAACGUAAACAACGUAUGCGCGUGGUGCUGCUGGCACAAAACAGCAUACGUUGUUAACGUUCAGAUCAAAGCACGUGCAUACAUUAUGAUACUCUUAAUUGCGUGACAGAAUUUUAAUUUUUGGAUAAACUAUCACUUCAAUCAAAUAUUAUCAUCAGUUGCGACAUUGAAUCAGUACGAUGAUCUUGAGAAGUGUCUAAUUUGGGAGUAAUCAACUCCAGAGGUAUCAUGCUCAUUCAAACAGUUGGGGCACAUUGCAAAUGGAUUUUGUAUGCAGCUUUACAUAAAUAAAUAAAUACAUGUCCUAUGCUUUUGUUUUUAAUUAAUUUGUUUCUAUAAGUAAUAGAAUGUGUGCAAGCCUAAAUUGAUGCAGGACAGUUAAUACGUUAAUAAUGUAUGUUUUAAAUCAUAAUUUAAAAGUAUAUAAUCUGAUAUGAAGACACUGCAGUAAUUAUUACAGUGAAAGCAUAAGUAAAGUUUUUGCGCAGCAUAUCAGCAUAUUCAAAUUAAUCCUGAAGGAUCAUGUGAUGCUGAAGCCUGGAGUAGUGAUGCUGAAAAUUCAGCUUUGCCAUCACAUGAAUAAAUUAAAUUUAAAAUAUGUUAAAACAAAAUA